AGGGUUUGAUCAUGGCUCAGGACGAACGCUGGCGGCGUGCUUAACACAUGCAAGUCGAACGGGCUGAAGUGAUAGCUUGCUAUUAUGGAUGCUAGUGGCAAACGGGUGAGUAACGCGUAGGCAACCUGCCCUUCAGAUGGGGACAACACUUCGAAAGAGGUGCUAAUACCGAAUGACGUAUCCAUUCCGCAUGGAGAGGGUACCAAAGGCCGGGCAACCGGUCACUGAAGGAUGGGCCUGCGUCUGAUUAGCUAGUUGGUGGGGUAACGGCUCACCAAGGCGACGAUCAGUAGCCGGUCUGAGAGGAUGAACGGCCACAUUGGGACUGAGACACGGCCCAA
rnacentral:rRNA from 1 species